rnacentral:rRNA from 1 species
AGUGAACGCUGGCGGUAGGCCUAACACAUGCAAGUCGAACGGCAGCACAGUAAGAGCUUGCUCUUACGGGUGGCGAGUGGCGGACGGGUGAGGAAUACAUCGGAAUCUACUUUUUCGUGGGGGAUAACGUAGGGAAACUUGCGCUAAUACCGCAUACGACCUACGGGUGAAAGCAGGGGAUCUUCGGACCUUGCGCGAUUGAAUGAGCCGAUGUCGGAUUAGCUAGUUGGCGGGGUAAAGGCCCACCAAGGCGACGACCCGUAGCUGGUCUGAGAGGAUGAUCAGCCACACUGGAACUGAGACACGGUCCAGACUCCUACGGGAGGCAGCAGUGGGGAAUAUUGGACAAUGGGCGCAAGCCUGAUCCAGCCAUACCGCGUGGGUGAAGAAGGCCUUCGGGUUGUAAAGCCCUUUUGUUGGGAAAGAAAAGCAGCAGGUUAAUACCCCGCUGUUCUGACGGUACCCAAAGAAUAAGCACCGGCUAACUUCGUG